GAUGAACGCUAGCGGCAGGCCUAACACAUGCAAGUCGAGGGGUAACUAGAGUGAUAGCAAUAUUACUUUGGCUAGACCGGCGCACGGGUGCGUAACACGUAUGCAACCUACCUUAUACUGGGGAAUAACUUCGAGAAAUCGGCGCUAAUACCCCAUAACAUUGCGAAGAGGCAUCUCUUUGCAAUUAAAGCUCCGGCGGUAUAAGAUGGGCAUGCGUCCAAUUAGCUAGUUGGUGAGGUAACGGCUCACCAAGGCUACGAUUGGUAGGGGUUCUGGGAGGAUGAUCCCCCACAAUGGUACUGAGACACGGACCAGACUCCUACGGGAGGCAGCAGGGAGGAAUAUUGCGCAAUGGACGAAAGUCUGACGCAGCCAUGCCGCGUGCAGGAUGACGGCCCUAUGGGUUGUAAACUGCUUUUGUACGGGAAUAAACCCUUCUACGUGUAGGAGGCUGAAGGUACCGUAAGAAUAAGCACCGGCUAACUCCGUGCCAGCCGCCGCAGUAAAAC
rnacentral:rRNA from 1 species